rnacentral:rRNA from 1 species
GCGAAUUAUGGAAUUCACUACACCGGGCACCCAAAGGUGCUUGAAGGGUAUAGUGACUCAAACUGGAUCUCAGAUGCUGAUGAGAUAAAGGCCACGAGCGGUUAUGUAUUCACUCAUGGAGGUGGCGCUGUUUCUUGGAAGUCUUGCAAGCAGACCAUCUUAACGAGGUCAACAAUGGAAGCAGAACUCACAGCACUAGAUACAGCUACGGUCGAAGCAGAUUGGCUUCGCCGGCUCUUGAAUGACUUGCCGGUUGUUGAGAAACCUGUACCGGGUAUCCUUAUGAACUGCGACAAUCAAACUGUGAUCACAAAAGUGAGCAGCUCAAAGGAUAACAUGAAGUCAUCAAGACACGUUCAGGGAAGGUUGAAGUCUGUCAGGAAAAUGAGAAACUCCGGAGUUAUUGCAUUGGAUUAUAUCCAAACGUCUAAAAAUCUGGCAGAUCCUUUUACUAAGGGUCUAUCACGCAAUGUGAUAGAUAAUGCAUCGAGGGAGAUGGGUAUGAGACCCACA